rnacentral:snRNA from 1 species
GUGCUCGCUUCAGCAGCACAUAUACUAAAAUUGGAACAAUACAGAGAAGAUUAGCAUGGCCCAUGCACAAGGAUGACACGCAAAUUCGUGAAGUGUUCCAUAUUUUU